UACGUAGGGGGCUAGCGUUGUCCGGAAUCAUUGGGCGUAAAGCGCGUGUAGGCGGUCCGGUAAGUCCGCUGUGAAAGUCGAGGGCUCAACCCUCGAAUGCCGGUGGAUACUGUCGGGCUUGAGUACGGGAGAGGCGAGUGGAAUUCCUGGUGUAGCGGUGAAAUGCGCAGAUAUCAGGAGGAACACCGGUGGCGAAGGCGGGUCUCUGGGCCGAGAUUGACGCUGAGGAGCGAAAGCGUGGGGAGCGAACAGG
rnacentral:rRNA from 1 species